rnacentral:rRNA from 1 species
CGGGUGAGUAAUGCCUAGGAAAUUGCCCUGAUGUGGGGGAUAACCAUUGGAAACGAUGGCUAAUACCGCAUGAUGCCUACGGGCCAAAGAGGGGGACCUUCGGGCCUCUCGCGUCAGGAUAUGCCUAGGUGGGAUUAGCUAGUUGGUGAGGUAAGGGCUCACCAAGGCGACGAUCCCUAGCUGGUCUGAGAGGAUGAUCAGCCACACUGGAACUGAGACACGGUCCAGACUCCUACGGGAGGCAGCAGUGGGGAAUAUUGCACAAUGGGCGCAAGCCUGAUGCAGCCAUGCCGCGUGUGUGAAGAAGGCCUUCGGGUUGUAAAGCACUUUCAGUCGUGAGGAAGGUAGUGUAGUUAAUAGCUGCAUUAUUUGACGUUAGCGACAGAAGAAGCACCGGCUAACUCCGUGCCAGCAGCCGCGGUAAUACGGAGGGUGCGAGCGUUAAUCGGAAUUACUGGGCGUAAAGCGCAUGCAGGUGGUUUGUUAAGUCAGAUGUGAAAGCCCGGGGCUCAACCUCGGAAUAGCAUUUGAAACUGGCAGACUAGAGUACUGUAGAGGGGGGUAGAAUUUCAGGUGUAGCGGUGAAAUGCGUAGAGAUCUGAAGGAAUACCGGUGGCGAAGGCGGCCCCCUGGACAGAUACUGACACUCAGAUGCGAAAGCGUGGGGAGCAAACAGGAUUAGAUACCCUGGUAGUCCACGCCGUAAACGAUGUCUACUUGGAGGUUGUGGCCUUGAGCCGUGGCUUUCGGAGCUAACGCGUUAAGUAGACCGCCUGGGGAGUACGGUCGCAAGAUUAAAACUCAAAUGAAUUGACGGGGGCCCGCACAAGCGGUGGAGCAUGUGGUUUAAUUCGAUGCAACGCGAAGAACCUUACCUACUCUUGACAUCCAGAGAACUUUCCAGAGAUGGAUUGGUGCCUUCGGGAACUCUGAGACAGGUGCUGCAUGGCUGUCGUCAGCUCGUGUUGUGAAAUGUUGGGUUAAGUCCCGCAACGAGCGCAACCCUUAUCCUUGUUUGCCAGCGAGUAAUGUCGGGAACUCCAGGGAGACUGCCGGUGAUAAACCGGAGGAAGGUGGGGACGACGUCAAGUCAUCAUGGCCCUUACGAGUAGGGCUACACACGUGCUACAAUGGCGCAUACAGAGGGCGGCCAACUUGCGAAAGUGAGCGAAUCCCAAAAAGUGCGUCGUAGUCCGGAUUGGAGUCUGCAACUCGACUCCAUGAAGUCGGAAUCGCUAGUAAUCGUGGAUCAGAAUGCCACGGUGAAUACGUUCCCGGGCCUUGUACACACCGCCCG